rnacentral:rRNA from 1 species
AUUGAACGCUGGCGGCAGGCUUAACACAUGCAAGUCGAGCGGGGGAAGGUAGCUUGCUACCGGACCUAGCGGCGGACGGGUGAGUAAUGCUUAGGAAUCUGCCUAUUAGUGGGGGACAACAUCUCGAAAGGGAUGCUAAUACCGCAUACGUCCUACGGGAGAAAGCAGGGGAUCUUCGGACCUUGCGCUAAUAGAUGAGCCUAAGUCAGAUUAGCUAGUUGGUGGGGUAAAGGCCUACCAAGGCGACGAUCUGUAGCGGGUCUGAGAGGAUGAUCCGCCGCACUGGGACGGGGACACGGGCCAGACUCCUACGGGAGGCAGAGGUGGGGUAGAUUGGACAAUGGGGGGAACCCUGAUCCAGCCAUGCCGCGUGUGUGAAGAAGGCCUUAUGGUUGUAAAGCACUUUAAGCGAGGAGGAGGCUACUUUAGUUAAUACCUAGAGAUAGUGGACGUUACUCGCAGAAUAAGCACCGGCUAACUCUGUGCCAGCCGCCGCCGUAA